rnacentral:misc_RNA from 1 species
AAGUCGUAACAAGGUUUCCGUAGGUGAACCUGCGGAAGGAUCAUUAACACGUAUCCUACGUUAAUCCACCCGUGCACUUUCAUCGAAACCCCGCGGUAACACGAUUGUUCGCGGCAAGGUAAAGCGGAAAUGAUUUCUCGAUGGAGUUAAUCUUGUUAAAAGAGGGAAAUUCCUUUGCCUUGUGAGACUCAGCGGCAGGAACCUAAAGCAAAACAACUGGAAUCCCCUCGUCGGGGACUGGUUGUUGUUGCUGGCGGUAGAAUGCUGUGAGGAAAGCCAGCGGCAGGAACCUAAAGGCAAAGCACUGGUAGUCGUCGGAAACCCGAACAACUGUUAACAAUGGAUAUCUUGGCUCUC